UAACCUGCCCAAGAGAUCGGGAUAACACCUGGAAACAGAUGCUAAUACCGGACAACAACAGAUGAUGCCUAUCAACUGUUUAAAAGAUGGUUCUGCUAUCACUCUUGGAUGGACCUGCGGUGCAUUAGCUAGUUGGUAGGGUAACGGCCUACCAAGGCGAUGAUGCAUAGCCGAGUUGAGAGACUGAUCGGCCACAUUGGGACUGAGACGCGGCCCAAACUCCUACGGGAGGCAGCAGUG
rnacentral:rRNA from 1 species